AAUGACUCUCGGCAACGGAUAUCUCGGCUCUCGCAUCGAUGAAGAACGUAGCGAAAUGCGAUACUUGGUGUGAAUUGCAGAAUCCCGUGAACCAUCGAGUCUUUGAACGCAAGUURCGCCCGAAGCCAUUAGGCCGAGGGCACGUCUGGCUGGGUGUCACRCAAYG
rnacentral:rRNA from 1 species